rnacentral:rRNA from 1 species
GGGUUGUGAGGUUAAGCGACUAAGCGUACACGGUGGAUGCCCUGGCAGUCAGAGGCGAUGAAGGACGUGCUAAUCUGCGAAAAGCGUCGGUAAGGUGAUAUGAACCGUUAUAACCGGCGAUGUCCGAAUGGGGAAACCCAGUGCAAUUCGUUGCACUAUCGUUAACUGAAUACAUAGGUUAACGAGGCGAACCGGGGGAACUGAAACAUCUAAGUACCCCGAGGAAAAGAAAUCAACCGAGAUUCCCCCAGUAGCGGCGAGCGAACGGGGAGCAGCCCAGAGUCUGAAUCAGCUUGUGUGUUAGUGGAACGGUCUGGAAAGUCCGACGGUACAGGGUGAUAGUCCCGUACACCAAAAUGCACAGGUUGUGAACUCGAAGAGUAGGGCGGGACACGUGGUAUCCUGUCUGAAUAUGGGGGGACCAUCCUCCAAGGCUAAAUACUCCUGACUGACCGAUAGUGAACCAGUACCGUGAGGGAAAGGCGAAAAGAACCCCGGCGAGGGGAGUGAAAAAGAACCUGAAACCGUGUACGUACAAGCAGUGGGAGCACCUUCGGGUGUGACUGCGUACCUUUUGUAUAAUGGGUCAGCGACUUAUAUUCUGUAGCAAGGUUAACCGUAUAGGGGAGCCGCAGGGAAACCGAGUCUUAACUGGGCGUUAAGUUGCAGGGUAUAGACCCGAAACCCGGUGAUCUAGCCAUGGGCAGGUUGAAGGUUGGGUAACACUAACUGGAGGACCGAACCGACUAAUGUUGAAAAAUUAGCGGAUGACUUGUGGCUGGGGGUGAAAGGCCAAUCAAACCGGGAGAUAGCUGGUUCUCCCCGAAAGCUAUUUAGGUAGCGCCUCGUGAACUCAUCUUCGGGGGUAGAGCACUGUUUCGGCUAGGGGGUCAUCCCGACUUACCAACCCGAUGCAAACUACGAAUACCGAAGAAUGUUAUCACGGGAGACACACGGCGGGUGCUAACGUCCGUCGUGAAGAGGGAAACAACCCAGACCGCCAGCUAAGGUCCCAAAGUCAUGGUUAAGUGGGAAACGAUGUGGGAAGGCACAGACAGCCAGGAUGUUGGCUUAGAAGCAGCCAUCAUUUAAAGAAAGCGUAAUAGCUCACUGGUCGAGUCGGCCUGCGCGGAAGAUGUAACGGGGCUAAACCAUGCACCGAAGCUGCGGCAGCGACACUAUGUGUUGUUGGGUAGGGGAGCGUUCUGUAAGCCUGCGAAGGUGACCUGUGAGGGUUGCUGGAGGUAUCAGAAGUGCGAAUGCUGACAUAAGUAACGAUAAAGCGGGUGAAAAGCCCGCUCGCCGGAAGACCAAGGGUUCCUGUCCAACGUUAAUCGGGGCAGGGUGAGUCGACCCCUAAGGCGAGGCCGAAAGGCGUAGUCGAUGGGAAACAGGUUAAUAUUCCUGUACUUGGUGUUACUGCGAAGGGGGGACGGAGAAGGCUAUGUUAGCCGGGCGACGGUUGUCCCGGUUUAAGCAUGUAGGCUGGUUAUCCAGGCAAAUCCGGAUAAUCAAGGCUGAGGUGUGAUGACGAGGCACUACGGUGCUGAAGUAACAAAUGCCCUGCUUCCAGGAAAAGCCUCUAAGCAUCAGGUAACAUCAAAUCGUACCCCAAACCGACACAGGUGGUCAGGUAGAGAAUACCAAGGCGCUUGAGAGAACUCGGGUGAAGGAACUAGGCAAAAUGGUGCCGUAACUUCGGGAGAAGGCACGCUGGUGUGUAGGUGAAGUCCCUGCGGAUGGAGCUGAGACCAGUCGAAGAUACCAGCUGGCUGCAACUGUUUAUUAAAAACACAGCACUGUGCAAACACGAAAGUGGACGUAUACGGUGUGACGCCUGCCCGGUGCCGGAAGGUUAAUUGAUGGGGUUAUCCGUAAGGAGAAGCUCUUGAUCGAAGCCCCGGUAAACGGCGGCCGUAACUAUAACGGUCCUAAGGUAGCGAAAUUCCUUGUCGGGUAAGUUCCGACCUGCACGAAUGGCGUAAUGAUGGCCAGGCUGUCUCCACCCGAGACUCAGUGAAAUUGAACUCGCUGUGAAGAUGCAGUGUACCCGCGGCAAGACGGAAAGACCCCGUGAACCUUUACUAUAGCUUGACACUGAACAUUGAGCCUUGAUGUGUAGGAUAGGUGGGAGGCUUUGAAGCGUGGACGCCAGUCUGCGUGGAGCCAACCUUGAAAUACCACCCUUUAAUGUUUGAUGUUCUAACGUUGGCCCCUUACCGGGGUUGCGGACAGUGUCUGGUGGGUAGUUUGACUGGGGCGGUCUCCUCCCAAAGCGUAACGGAGGAGCACGAAGGUUAGCUAAUCCUGGUCGGACAUCAGGAGGUUAGUGCAAUGGCAUAAGCUAGCUUGACUGCGAGCGUGACGGCGCGAGCAGGUGCGAAAGCAGGUCAUAGUGAUCCGGUGGUUCUGAAUGGAAGGGCCAUCGCUCAACGGAUAAAAGGUACUCCGGGGAUAACAGGCUGAUACCGCCCAAGAGUUCAUAUCGACGGCGGUGUUUGGCACCUCGAUGUCGGCUCAUCACAUCCUGGGGCUGAAGUAGGUCCCAAGGGUAUGGCUGUUCGCCAUUUAAAGUGGUACGCGAGCUGGGUUUAGAACGUCGUGAGACAGUUCGGUCCCUAUCUGCCGUGGGCGCUGGAGAAUUGAGGGGGGCUGCUCCUAGUACGAGAGGACCGGAGUGGACGCAUCACUGGUGUUCGGGUUGUCAUGCCAAUGGCACUGCCCGGUAGCUAAAUGCGGAAGAGAUAAGUGCUGAAAGCAUCUAAGCACGAAACUUGCCCCGAGAUGAGUUCUCCCUGAGACUUUAAGUCUCCUGAAGGAACGUU